UGUUAUUAGAAAGGUUUUUACUUCGAAUGUGCACGGCUUGUCCACAUGGCUGAGAUUAGUGCUCAAUACUCAUAUAAAGCUUUUCAUCCUCAAAAGGACUUUACAAGCUCCAGCCCUCAAAACACCCCCACAAGAGUAAAACUGGAUAUUAAAACUCUGUUAUUCCAGUUACUGGAUGGUUUCUUCCUGGAAGAAUAGAUGGAACACAAACCGAUGGAGUCUGGUAUCACUAAUUUAAGGAGAAGCUGGGGCAGAUGUUGACCUGAGAUCUGGAGCACAGCUUCCCAGUGGGGGUGCCAGGAUAGAAGACCUCCCAUCACCACUUUUGCUCCUGAGGGAUGAGGGGCAGACCCGUACCGUGGUCACAAGCACCAAGGAAUUUUGUGUAGAUGUUCCAGAGCUUCAGAAACACACGCUUGACCUUCAAGAGUUGCUGCUGAUUUGUUCAGCACUCACACAGUGAGCUAUGUCUCCUGCUAUGUCUCCUGCUAUGCCUCCUGGGUGCUGCUGCAGUGCAGCCACCUUUCCUUUUGUUUGGACACCUUUAUCUGUACAGCUGAAGGGAGCACUGUGUGGACUGUGAAUUCCUCUGCAAGAUCAUGUAAAUACUUGGACAGUACAUGCUGUUUCUCUAAUAUUAAUCUAACUAGCUAAAACUGGUUUGCAUACAUCUGCAGCUACAACAGAAAUUUAAUGAUAAA